UGACACAGGGAGGUAGUGACAAGAAAUAACAAUACGGGGCUUAAAGUCUUGUAAUUGGAAUGAUGGGAAUUUAAACCUCUUCCAGAGUAUCAAUUGGAGGGCAAGUCUGGUGCCAGCAGCCGCGGUAAUUCCAGCUCCAAUAGCGUAUAUUAAAAUUGUUGCAGUUAAAAAGCUCGUAGUUGAAUUUCUGCUGCAUUGCUUGUGUCCCUCUGGGGUCUGUGCAUGUGGCUUUUUUCGGACGGAGUUUCUUUGUCUGAAUGUUUACUUUGAGAAAAUUAGAGUGCUCAAAGCAGGCUUUCGCCUUGAAUAGUUUAGCAUGGAAUAAUAAAGUAGGACUUUGGUUCUAUUUUGUUGGUUUUAGGUACCAAAGUAAUGGUUAAUAGGAACAGUUGGGGGCAUUCGUAUUUAACUGUCAGAGGUGAAAUUCUUAGAUUUGUUAAAGACGAACUACUGCGAAAGCAUUUGCCAAGGAUGUUUUCAUUAAUCAAGAACGAAAGUUAGGGGAUCGAAGACGAUCAGAUACCGUCGUAGUCCUAACCAUAAACUAUGCCGACUAGAGAUUG
rnacentral:rRNA from 1 species